GGGGAAGUCCGGUCGAAAUCCGGCGCUGACCCGCAACGGUAGGCGGCACACCCGUGCCGCGAGCCCGAUCACCC
rnacentral:ncRNA from 1 species